rnacentral:siRNA from 1 species
UGGUAAUAGGUGGAGUGACCCUA